UGGGGAAUAUUGGGCAAUGGGGCGAAAGCCUGACCCAGCAACGCCGCGUGAAGGAAGAAGGUCUUCGGAUUGUAAACUUCUUUUAUGAGGGACGAAGGACGUGACGGUACCUCAUGAAUAAGCCACGGCUAACUACGUGCCAGCAGCCGCGGUAAUACGUAGGUGGCAAGCGUUGUCCGGAUUUACUGGGUGUAAAGGGCGCGUAGGCGGGAUGGCAAGUCAGAUGUGAAAUCCAUGGGCUCAACCCAUGAACUGCAUUUGAAACUGUAUCUCUUGAGUGUCGGAGAGGUAGAUGGAAUUCCUAGCGUAGCGGUGAAAUGCGUAGAUAUUAGGAGGAACACCAGUGGCGAAGGCGAUCUACUGGACGAUAACUGACGCUGAGGCGCGAAAGCGU
rnacentral:rRNA from 1 species